AGUUAAAUAAGCAAAUGCUGAGCGUAGUGUCUUGAAAACAUUAAGAAGAAGUUGAACUCUUCUAUUAACUU
rnacentral:tRNA from 1 species